UCUUCAACUUCAAAUAUCAACACCUAUCCCCAUUGGAAUAUCACAUAACAAGUUACAAUAUAUUUAGGAGACAAAAGUAAAAGACCAAUAAUGGAGAUGAAAAUAUUUGUUGGCUUGUGCUUCUUCUUCAUUAUUCUCGUAAUUGCUGAAGAAGCAGUGGUGCAAAAUGAGGCUUGUGAAAAACAGAGUGAAUGGUUCACCGGUGAUCAAUGCGUUGGUUUUAUAUUUAGCAGCCUCGUAUGUGACUAUUAUUGCAGGGACAAAGACAAUUUACUCCAUGGUACCUGCAUAAAUAAGAAAUGCAUUUGUUCAUGCUGAACGUUUCCAUUGUGAGAUACUACUACUAGUAUACUGUAUACUAUAAUUUUGUUCAUGUAUAGCUAGUUUAAUUUCCAUGAAAUAAUUCAUGAAAUGAUGAAUAAGUCAUUAUUAUUACACUU